UACGUAGGGCGCAAGCGUUGUCCGGAAUUAUUGGGCGUAAAGAGCUUGUAGGCGGCUUGUCACGUCGGGUGUGAAAGCCCGGGGCUUAACCCCGGGUCUGCAUUCGAUACGGGCAGGCUAGAGUGUGGUAGGGGAGAUCGGAAUUCCUGGUGUAGCGGUGAAAUGCGCAGAUAUCAGGAGGAACACCGGUGGCGAAGGCGGAUCUCUGGGCCAUUACUGACGCUGAGGAGCGAAAGCGUGGGGAGCGAACAGG
rnacentral:rRNA from 1 species